AGUUUGCGUUUUUCGUAUUUUCGAAUUUUGAUAUAUCAUUGACACAUUAAUACAACCAAACAAAUCAAAACUUGUAUUGCUUUUAAAGGAAAAAUUACUUUACAUUCCGUUUGAUUAUAAUUUUCUAGUGAUCUCACUUUGCGCGUUACAGAUUUAAUCUCACUGCUUUUCUGACAGACCUCGUAUAAGUAUAUUAAAGUUUUAAUGUUUUGUAAAAAUUACUUUUAAAUAAGGCCACAGUAUUUUUCAGUAUAGUGUUUUAUUCUAAUUUAUCAGACUCAAAUCAACAAGUUAAAAAUUCCAAUAAAACAAGUUUCCAAUAUCCACAAUUAAUUCUUGGUUUUUUUGAUUAUUUGCUACAGAUGUAACGGUAACUAAAUUACAGCUGAACCAUUACAGAGUAUAAAUGCAGUUAAAGAAGUAAUGUACAAAACAAUAAUCGUAUCGAAGUGCGAGGUAACACCGGAUCAGUGCAUUUUAUAUUCCAAACAACAAUGAAGAAACUUCUACUUAUUGCGUUUUUAAUAACAAUAUCCUACGCCGCUGAUCGGGAAAAAUUGAAGAUAAUGUAUCAAAUCUACCAAACUUGUCUCAAAAACAGAAUGCACAAGAUGAGUAAUAUUACCAUAAUUUAAAUU